GCUGACGCAUCCCCGCACUGCUCGGUGGAACCGGUGGUGGAUGUGCAUGCACCCUGGCGGCAUCUGCUGCUCCCUUUGCAUAAGACGGGAGGGUAUACGUUUCCUGAGCUGAUCUGAUCCUGAGAGCCAGGGAGCUUCGGCUGGGGCAUCUCCCUGAGAAGCAGCAUGGAGCAGCCUAACAGUAAAGGCUAUAGCCUGGGAAGGACCCCUCAGGGCCCAGAGUGCAGCAGUGCUCCUGCAGUCCAAGCGGGGACCCACAGGGGCCUAGAGUAUAACCCGGGGAAGAUUCUUCCAGGAUCAGACUAUGGGUUGGGAAAUCCUCCAGCCCUUGACCCCAAGCUCCCACAUUUACCCCUGCCCCCGGCCCCACCCACACUCUCAGACUUGGGGCAGCCCCAGAAGUCACCCCUGACAGGCACUGAUAAGAAGUACCCGCUGAUGAAGCAGCGUGGGUUCUACUCCGACAUCCUCAGCCCUGGAACCUUAGAUCAACUUGGGGAGGUAUGUCGUGGCCCCCGAAUGAGCCAGAACCUCCUGCGGCAGGCUGACCUUGACAAGUUCACCCCAAGAGUCGGAAGCUUUGAGGUUCCUGAAGACUUCCAGGAGCGCAUGGAGCAGCAGUGCCUCGGGUCCACCACCCGGCUGCUCGCCCAGACUGACUUCCCACUGCAGGCCUACGAGCCCAAGAUGCAGGUGCCUUUCCAGGUGCUGCCAGGCCAGCGUCCUCGCAAGAUUGAGAUCGAGAGGAGGAAACAGCAGUACCUGAGCCUGGACAUUGAGCAGUUGCUGUUCAGCCAGGGCAUCGACUCCAACAAGCUCAUGCCCAGGCACCUGGACCCCCAGCACCCCCAAACCAUCGAGCAGGGCCAUGACCCAAUCUUCCCCAUCUACCUCCCACUGAAGGUAUUUGACAAUGAGGACUUUGACUGCCGGACUCCCAGAGAGUGGAUCAACAUGGGCUUGGAGCCAGGGUCUCUGGACAGGAAACCUGUCCCGGGAAAAGCCCUCCUGCCCACUGAUGACUUCCUGGGGCAUGAGGACCCCAAGAGUCAGAAGCUGAAGUACAAAUGGUGCGAGGUCGGCGUCCUGGACUACGACGAGGAGAAGAAGCUAUACCUGGUACACAAGACAGACGAGAAAGGCCUGGUGCGAGAUGAGAUGGGGAGGCCCAUCCUGAAUGCAGGGGUCACCACUGAAGGAAGGCCACCCCUUCAGGUCUGUCAGUACUGGGUGCCACGGAUCCAGCUUCUCUUCUGCGCUGAGGACCCUUGCAUGUUCGCACAACGUGUGGUCCAGGCCAACGCCCUGCGCAAGAACACGGAAGCGCUGCUGCUCUACAACUUGUAUGUGGACUGCAUGCCCUCUGACGGCCAGCAUGUCAUCAGUGAACAGAGCCUGAGCAAGAUCAAGCAGUGGGCCCUGAGCACGCCUCGGAUGCGCAAAGGCCCCUCGGUUCUAGAGCACCUCAGCAGUCUUGCCAGAGAAGUGAGCCUGGACUAUGAGCGCAGCAUGAACAAGAUCAACUUUGACCACGUUGUCUCUUCUAAGCCCGAGACCUUCUCCUACGUGACCCUCCCCAAGAAGGAGGAGGAGCAGGUGCCUGAGCGAGGGCUGGUGAGUGUCCCCAAGUACCACUUCUGGGAGCAGAAGGAGGACUUCACUUUUGUGUCCCUGCUCACACGGCCAGAGGUCAUCACGGCCCUCAGCAAGGUGAGGGCCGAGUGCAACAAGGUGACUGCCAUGUCCCUGUUCCACUCGAGCCUCUCCAAGUACAGCCACCUGGAGGAAUUUGAGCAGAUCCAGUCACAGACCUUCUCCCAGGUGCAGAUGUUCCUCAAGGACAGCUGGAUCAGCUCGCUAAAGGUGGCCAUGCGCAGCAGCCUGCGCGACAUGAGCAAGGGCUGGUACAACCUCUACGAGACCAACUGGGAGGUGUACCUCAUGUCCAAGCUGCGCAAGCUGAUGGAGCUGGUGAAGAACAUGCUGCAGGACACACUGCGCUUCCUGGUGCAGGACUCACUUGCCAGCUUCUCACAGUUCAUCAGCGACACCUGUUGCAGUGUGCUCAACUGCACCGAUGACAUGGUCUGGGGUGAUGACUUAAUUAACAGCCCCUACAGGCCCCGGAAGAAUCCCCUGUUCAUCGUGGACCUGGUGCUGGACAGCUCUGGGGUGCACUAUAGCACCCCACUGGAGCAGUUUGAGGCAUCUCUGCUGAACCUCUUCGACAAGGGCAUCCUGGCCACCCAUGCCGUGCCCCAGCUGGAGAAGCUGGUGAUGGAGGACAUCUUCAUCAGCGGUGACCCCCUGCUGGAGUCCGUGGGCCUUCAUGAGCCACUGGUGGAAGAGCUACGGGCCACCAUUGCCAGUGCCGUGUCCAAGGCCAUGAUCCCACUGCAGGCCUACGCCAAGGAGUACCGAAAGUACCUGGAGCUGAACAACAAUGACAUUGCCUCCUUUCUCAAAACCUACCAGACGCAGGGCCUGUUGGCCCAGGAGGUGCGGGAGGUAGUGCUCACCCACCUGCGGGAGAAGGAGAUCCUGGACAGCUCGCUGCCCAGCAGCAUCAUCAUUGGGCCUUUCUACAUCAACACCGACAAUGUCAAGCAGAGCCUGUCCAAGAAACGCAAGGCCCUGGCCACUUCCGUGCUGGACAUCCUUGCCAAGAACCUGCAUAAGGAGGUGGAUAGCAUCUGCGAGGAGUUCCGCAGCAUCAGCCGCAAGAUCUAUGAGAAGCCCAACAGCAUUGAGGAGCUGGCUGAGCUGCGAGAGUGGAUGAAGGGCAUCCCGGAGAGGCUGGUGGGCCUGGAGGAGCGGAUUGUGAAGGUCAUGGAUGACUACCAGGUCAUGGAUGAAUUCCUCUACAACCUCAGCUCAGAUGACUUCAAUGACAAAUGGAUUGCCAGCAACUGGCCUUCUAAGAUCCUUGGGCAGAUAGAGCUGGUGCAGCAGCAGCAUGUGGAGGAUGAGGAGAAGUUCCGCAAAAUCCAGAUCAUGGAUCAGAACAACUUCCAAGAGAAGCUGGAAGGGCUGCAGCUGGUAGUAGCUGGCUUCUCCAUCCACGUGGAGAUUUCACGUGCACACGAGAUCGCCAACGAGGUGCGGCGUGUCAAGAAGCAGCUGAAGGACUGCCAGCAGCUGGCCAUGCUCUACAACAACCGCGAGCGCAUCUUCAGCUUGCCCAUCACCAAUUAUGACAAGCUCUCCAGGAUGGUGAAGGAGUUCCAACCCUACCUGGACCUUUGGACCACAGCGUCUGACUGGCUGCGCUGGUCGGAGAGCUGGAUGAAUGACCCCCUCUCUGCCAUCGAUGCUGAGCAGCUGGAGAAGAACGUGGUUGAAGCCUUCAAGACCAUGCACAAGUGCGUGAAGCAGUUCAAGGACAUGCCAGGUAGGGAGCCAAGCCGGCCAAUCCCCUCCUCCCUGCCUCUGCCGCCUGCCUCUCAUGCGUUUCUGUCUUACCCGGCAGCCUGCCAGGAAGUGGCCUUGGACAUCCGGGCCCGCAUCGAGGAGUUCAAACCAUACAUCCCACUGAUCCAGGGGCUGCGCAACCCUGGCAUGCGGAUCCGGCACUGGGAGACACUGUCCAACCAGAUCAACAUCAAUGUCAGGCCCAAGGCCAACCUGACCUUUGCUCGCUGCCUGGAGAUGAACCUGCAGGACCAUAUCGAGAGCAUCAGCAAGGUGGCUGAGGUGGCUGGCAAGGAGUACGCCAUUGAGCAGGUGGGCAGCCACCAGCGGGCCCAGCCACUCCAGCCAGGCCCUGCCGGACAGCCUGACCUCCUGCUCUGGCAACCACAGCCACUUGGGAGGAUGACAGUAAUAAGCCCCAUCCCUGGGGUCAUGAGGCCCAGGGGUUGAGAUGCAUUCUAUUAAGUGAGUUAAUAAUGCACAUAAAAUUCUUGACAGUG
rnacentral:sRNA from 1 species